CUUCCAGAAUUUUUCUUCGACUCUCUCUUCCCAACUGUAGAAACCCCAAACUGAAUUUUCCAUCGAUGUAUUUCGAAAUAUUAAUGGAGGAGAUCGCCAAUCAAAUCGAGAUUAACUCUUAUUGAUGGAGCAUUUCCUUUUUUUCUUUCCACCAUUCUUCUUCUCCCUCGACUCUCUCUUCCCAACAAUAAAAUCCCCAAAUUGAAUUUUUGGUUGUAUUUCGACUAACUAAUGGCGGAGAUCGGAAAUUGAAGGAAACGGUUACUCUAUCUGAUUAGGGUACAUCUCAGAGUCGUUUUGCAGCUCGAAGAAAUAGGAUGACCGAAGAGCAACGUGCUGCUGAAACAGAAAGGCUUCAUGUUGAUUGCGACAUCAGGGAUUGCUGCGACGUCAAGGUAUCGUUUCUUUAGGCGAGAAGAUAGAAGAACCUCAAAGCCGGCAACAAAGUGGAUGGGUGCUUAGCUGCAGUCUGCGUAUUCUGUUUUUCAAAAUUGGAAAAAUGUGGACGAAAAAGACUAUGUUUGCCGACGUGCAAUGCACGUGGACUCUACUUGUUUUAGUAGUGGAUGAAGUAGGGAAUAUAAAGAUGCAAGUUUGGGACAAAUUGGAUAUGGGGAAGAGUUCCUCUUUAUAUAGAGGAAAACCCGGUAGUUUUUUUUGUUUUGAAAACUUUAAAAUUCAGGUGAAAUAAUUUGUGUAAUCGGGUCUAUAAGAAUGUCCAUAUCAACCGAUUGUAGCCUAGUAACCAUCAAACUUCGGUUGCUAAGCUAAUUUGAAGAUUCAUCAUUAAUUCAAAAUCUUUUUAACUA